AUGAUUAAGAAUACAGGUGGUUUGAGGAGUUAUGUUAGUGAUGGCGGCGGGAAAUCUCACCACCAUGGUCUCAAUAGAGAAAAUAAAAAGGGAAGUGUGAGAAUGUUGAAGGGAAAAUGGAAAGCCAUAACACCUUUGAAGCCAAAACGCAGCGUAUCACCUCACUCUUUUGAUUCAAUUGCCGUUCGUUUAUUUGGUUAUUUUCAAUGCAAUAAUGGUUGGCUGGAUAAAGAAAAAAGAGAGAAGUAA